AACGAACGCUGGCGGCAGGCCUAACACUUGCAAGUCGAACGAAGUCUUCGGACUUAGUGGCGCACGGGUGAGUAACACGUGGGAAUAUACCUUACGCUGGGGGAUAACAUCGGGAAACUGAUGCUAAUACCGCAUACGCCCUUCGGGGGAAAGAUUUAUCGGCGAAAGAUUAGCCCGCGUCCGAUUAGCUAGUUGGUGAGGUAAUGGCUCACCAAGGCUCCGAUCGGUAGCUGGUCUGAGAGGAUGACCAGCCACACUGGGACUGAGACACGGCCCAGACUCCUACGGGAGGCAGCAGUGGGGAAUAUUGGACAAUGGGCGCAAGCCUGAUCCAGCCAUGCCGCGUGAGUGAUGAAGGCCUUAGGGUUGUAAAGCUCUUUCACCCACGACGAUGAUGACGGUAGUGGGAGAAGAAGCCCCGGCUAACUUCGUG
rnacentral:rRNA from 1 species